rnacentral:rRNA from 1 species
AACGAACGCUGGCGGCAUGCCUAACACAUGCAAGUCGAACGAGACCUUCGGGUCUAGUGGCGCACGGGUGCGUAACGCGUGGGAACCUGCCCUUAGGUUCGGAAUAACUCCCCGAAAGGGGUGCUAAUACCGGAUAAUGUCUUCGGACCAAAGAUUUAUCGCCUUUGGAUGGGCCCGCGUUGGAUUAGCUUGUUGGUAGGGUAAAAGCCUACCAAGGCGACGAUCCAUAGCUGGUCUGAGAGGAUGAUCAGCCACACUGGGACUGAGACACGGCCCAGACUCCUACGGGAGGCAGCAGUGGGGAAUAUUGGACAAUGGGCGAAAGCCUGAACCAGCAAUGCCGCGAGAGUGAUGAAGGCCUUAAGGUUGUAAAGCUCUUUUACCCGGGAUGAUAAUGACAGUACCGAGAGAAUAAGCUCCGGCUAACUCCGUG